AGUGAACGCUGGCGGUAGGCCUAACACAUGCAAGUCGAACGGCAGCACAGUAAGAGCUUGCUCUUACGGGUGGCGAGUGGCGGACGGGUGAGGAAUACAUCGGAAUCUACUUUUUCGUGGGGGAUAACGUAGGGAAACUUACGCUAAUACCGCAUACGACCUACGGGUGAAAGCAGGGGAUCUUCGGACCUUGCGCGAUUGAAUGAGCCGAUGUCGGAUUAGCUAGUUGGCGGGGUAAAGGCCAACCAAGGCGACGAUCCGUAGCUGGUCUGAGAGGAUGGUCAGCCACACGGGAACUGAGACACGGUCCAGACUCCUACGGGAGGCAGCAGUGGGGAAUAUUGGGCAAUGGGCGGAAACCUGAUCCAGCCAUACCGCGUGGGUGAAGAAGGCCUUCGGGUUGGAAAGCCCUUUUGUUGGGAAAGAAAAGCAGCAGGUUAAUACCCCGCUGUUCUGACGGUACCCAAAGAAUAAGCACCGGCUAACUUCGUG
rnacentral:rRNA from 1 species